UACGAAGGGGGCUAGCGUUGCUCGGAAUCACUGGGCGUAAAGGGUGCGUAGGCGGGUCUUUAAGUCAGGGGUGAAAUCCUGGAGCUCAACUCCAGAACUGCCUUUGAUACUGAAGAUCUUGAGUCCGGGAGAGGUGAGUGGAACUGCGAGUGUAGAGGUGAAAUUCGUAGAUAUUCGGCAAGAACACCAGUGGCGAAGGCGGCUCACUGGUCCGACUACGUACGCUGAGGUGCGAAAGCCG
rnacentral:rRNA from 1 species